AACAAACGCUGGCGGCGUGCCUAAUACAUGCAAGUCGAACGGGGUAGCAAUACCUAGUGGCGCACGGGUGAGUAACGCGUGGAUAAUCUGCCUUAGAGUGGGGGAUAACUAGUCGAAAGAUUAGCUAAUACCGCAUAAGACCACAAGAGCUGCGGCUCAAGGGGUCAAAGGUUUUUCGCUCUAAGAUGAGUCCGCGUAAGAUUAGCUAGUUGGUGAGGUAAUGGCUCACCAAGGCGACGAUCUUUAACUGGUCUGAGAGGAUGAUCAGUCACACUGGAACUGAGACACGGUCCAGACUCCUACGGGAGGCAGCAGUAGGGAAUAUUGCACAAUGGAGGAAACUCUGAUGCAGCGACGCCGCGUGAGUGAUGAAGGCCUUCGGGUCGUAAAGCUCUGUCGCAGGGGAAUAACACAAUGAAUGUACCCUGUAAGAAAGGAUCGGCUAACUUCGUG
rnacentral:rRNA from 1 species